rnacentral:rRNA from 1 species
UUCCGGUUGAUCCCGCCGGACCUGACUGCUAUCGGAUUGAUACUAAGCCAUGCGAGUCAUUGUAGCAAUACAAGGCAGACGGCUCAGUAACGCGUAGUCAACCUAACCUAUGGACGGGAAUAACCUCGGGAAACUGAGAAUAAUGCCCGAUAGAACACUAUACCUGGAAUGGUUUGUGUUCCAAAUGAUUUAUCGCCGUAGGAUGGGACUGCGGCCUAUCAGUUUGUUGGUGAGGUAAUGGCCCACCAAGACUAUUACAGGUACGGGCUCUGAGAGGAGUAGCCCGGAGAUGGGUACUGAGACACGGACCCAGGCCCUAUGGGGCGCAGCAGGCGAGAAAACUUUGCAAUGUGCGAAAGCACGACAAGGUUAAUCCGAGUGGUUUCUGCUAAAGGAACCUUUUGUCGGUCCUAGAAACACCGAUGAAUAAGGGGUGGGCAAGUUCUGGUGUCAGCCGCCGCGGUAAAACCAGCACCUCAAGUGGUCAGGAUGAUUAUUGGGCCUAAAGCAUCCGUAGCCGGCUCUGUAAGUUUUCGGUUAAAUCUGUACGCUUAACGUACAGGCUGCCGGGAAUACUGCAGAGCUAGGGAGUGGGAGAGGUAGACGGUACUCGGUAGGAAGGGGUAAAAUCCUUUGAUCUAUUGAUGACCACCUGUGGCGAAGGCGGUCUACCAGCACACGUCCGACGGUGAGGGAUGAAAGCUGGGGGAGCAAACCGGAUUAGAUACCCGGGUAGUCCCAGCUGUAAACUAUGCAAACUCAGUGAUGCAUUGACUUGUGGUCAAUGCAGUGCUGCAGGGAAGCCGUUAAGUUUGCCGCCUGGGAAGUACGUACGCAAGUAUGAAACUUAAAGGAAUUGGCGGGGGAGCACCACAAGGGGUGAAGCCUGCGGUUCAAUUGGAUUCAACGCCGGG